UUUUUAAGUUAGGCUCUGGGUGCCUUUGAUGGGAUAAUCGGGAAGUCCGGUGAAAGUCCGGCGCUGGCCCGCAACCGUAACCGGGGACGAAAGCCGCUAGGCCCAUUUGGGCGACUAGCCACUGGGGCUUAAGGCCAUAAGGCCGAAGGCCCUGGGAAGGCGCGGCGAGUAGGAUGAUCCGGAAGCCGGGAGACCGGCCCAGGGCUUAAAAUUGUA
rnacentral:ncRNA from 2 species